rnacentral:rRNA from 3 species
UACGGAGGGUGCAAGCGUUAUCCGGAUUCACUGGGUUUAAAGGGUGCGUAGGCGGGCAUGUAAGUCCGUGGUGAAAUCUCCGAGCUUAACUCGGAAACUGCCAUGGAUACUAUGUGUCUUGAAUGUUGUGGAGGUGAGCGGAAUAUGUCAUGUAGCGGUGAAAUGCUUAGAUAUGACAUAGAACACCAAUUGCGAAGGCAGCUCACUACACAAAUAUUGACGCUGAGGCACGAAAGCGUGGGGAUCAAACAGG